rnacentral:rRNA from 1 species
UACAGGGGGGGCAAGCGUUGCUCGGAAUCAUUGGGCGUAAAGCGCACGUAGGCGGUUCGUUAUGUCGGAUGUGAAAGCCCUUGGCUUAACCGAGGAAGUGCAUCCGAAACUGGCGAGCUAGAGUACGAAAGAGGAUCGCGGAAUUCCCGGUGUAGAGGUGAAAUUCGUAGAUAUCGGGAGGAACACCGGUGGCGAAGGCGGCGAUCUGGGUCGAUACUGACGCUGAGGUGCGAAAGCGUGGGGAGCAAACAGG